UAGUUACCACAAUGAAGGCUGAGUGACAU
rnacentral:piRNA from 1 species